UCCGUUUUGUCAACGGCAGUCUCAUUAGAGUGCUCUUGCGUAGCAACUAAUGACAAGGGUUGCGCUCGUUGCGGGACUUAACCCAACAUCUCACGACACGAGCUGACGACAACCAUGCACCACCUGUCUCGACUUUCCCCGAAAGGCACCUGAUGCAUCUCUGCUUCGUUAGUCGGAUGUCAAGACCUGGUAAGGUUCUUCGCGUUGCUUCGAAUUAAACCACAUACUCCACUGCUUGUGCGGGCCCCCGUCAAUUCCUUUGAGUUUCAACCUUGCGGUCGUACUCCCCAGGUGGAUAGCUUAUUGUGUUUACUCCGGCACGGAAGGGGUCAGUCCCCCCACACCUAGCUAUCAUCGUUUACGGCAUGGACUAC
rnacentral:misc_RNA from 1 species